GGUGGCUCAGUGGUAGAGUGCUUGCCUUGCAUGCAUGAGGUCCUAGGUUUGAUUCUCAGCACCG
rnacentral:tRNA from 1 species